AUGGUUUUGGGGAAGAGGCGCCUGGCUGGGCACUGGAAGGUUAAUGGAAGCGGAGAAAAACCCCAAACAAUCCUUUUCCCUCCUAUUUCUCUCCCCAUCUGCCAUAAGCACACUCGAAAAAGAAGUGGUUGUUGGGUUGCUGUGAGUUUUCCGGGCUGUUCUGUUGUUGUUCAGUUCGUUCUUUCUCUUCUCCCGUCUUCUCCCCAUUUUCUUUCUCCGCCUCUUUUUCCUGUGUUUUUCUCUCUUUCUCUUCUUCUUUCUCCUCCUUUUCUUUCUCUUUUCUUUCUCUUCCUCCUCCUUUUUUUCCUUCCUUUCUCCUGCUUCUUCUUCUUUUUUCUCUUCUUCUUCCUUCUUCUCUUUUCUUUCUCUUCUUUUUCUUUUUUCUUCUUCUUUCUUCUUUCUUUUCAUCCUCUUUCUCCUCCUCUUUUCGUUCUUUCUUUCUCUUCCUCCUCUUCCCUUUUUCUUUCUUUCUUCUCUUUUCUUCUUUUUUCUUUCUCCUUCUCUUCCUUUUUUCUUUCUCUUCUUUUUCCUCUUCCUCUUUUCUUUUUUCUUUCUUCUCCUCUUUUCUUUCUUUUUCCUCCUCUUCCUUUUUCUUUUUCUCUUCUUUUUCCUCCACCUCUUUUCCUUUCUUUCUUUCUCUUCUUCUUUCUCCUCCUCUUUUUUCUUUCUUUCUCCUCAUUUUCUUUCUCCCCCUCUUCUUCUAGUUUUUUUCUUUCUUUUUUCUCCUCUUCCUUCCUUCCUUCCUUCCUUCCUUCUUUCCUUUUUUUUUAUCAAAUCAAUAUCUUUAUUACUGUCAUAGACCAACACUUUCUUUAUCUUCUUUCCUUUCUCCUCCUCCUCCUCCUCUUCCUUCCUUCUUUCUUUCCUUCCUUCCUUCCUUCCUCUUGCCUUUCGUUAUCUUCUUUCUCCUCCUCCUCUUGCUUCCUUCCUUCUUUCCUUUAUCUUCUUUUCUUUCUCCUCCUCCUCCCUUUCUUUCUUUCUUUCUUUCUUUUUUUCUUUCUUUAUCUUCUUCUUUUUCCUCCCCCCACCCUUCCUUCCUUCUUUCCUUUCUUUAUCAAAUCAAUAUCUUUAUUACUGUCAUAGACCAGCAUGUUCUUUAUCUUCUUUCCUUUCUCCUCCUCCUCGUCCUUCCUUCCUUCUUGCCUUUCUUUAUCUUCUUUCCUUUCUCCUCCUCUUCUUGCUUCCUUCCUUUUUUCCUUUCUUUAUCUUCUUUUCUUUCUCCCCCCUUCCUUCUUUCUUUCCUUCCUCCUUUCCUUUCUUUGUCUUCUUCUUCUUUCUCUUCCCCUUCCUUCCUUCCUUCCUUCCUUCCUUCCUUCCUUCCUUCCUUCCUUCCUUCCUUCCUUCCUUCCUUCCUUCCUUCCUUCCUUCCUUCCUUUAGCUUCUUCUUUUCUUCCUCCUCCUCUCCCUCUUCUUCACCAUCUACACCCGAGUGGAGCCUCUUCAAGAUCCGCAUGUUCUUUUGCAACUCUUGUGAAAGUGCAUCUUCUGCACUGCCGGGUGAAUGGACUUCAUGGAUCGCCCUUUCCCUGCCAGGGCUCAAUUCUACGGAAUCCUGGGAGUUGUAGUUCUAACCGUGGUUUAGCAGAGAAGCCUGAGGAUCCCGCUUCCCAGGGCACCAUUGAGCCGUGGCCAUUCAAAUGGUGUCAAACCGCAGGCUCUCUGCCUCCUUGAAUCCACUUCUCCUCUUUUGUUCUGGAAUCCUUCAGAUAUUGUUGCUAGUUAGUAAGUUGGCUAACUGCUUUUUCUGAGGUUGACAACGACUAUAAUACAGAGACAAAACGGAAGAGCGGUAUAGUGCCUAGAACAGUGAUGGCCAACCUAUGACACGCGUGUCAGCACUGACACGCCUAGCCAUUUUUGCUGACACGCAGCCGCAUGCAGAUUGAUUGGAUGACUUUGUCUUUUGUGGCCAAAUUUGGUGUGAUUUGGUCCAGUGUUUUUGUUGUUUACUCCAUGGGAAUUAUGCACAUUACACACACACACACACACACAUACACACAUAUAUGAAUGUAUCAUUCUAUUAUUCUAUUAUUAUUGUAGUAUAUUGUUAUAUUAUUACUAUUAUAUUAUUCAUUAUUCAUGACUGCAUUGAAACUACAAUAGAGAGAAAUCAGCGUGGAAACUGAAAGAGGUACCAUAGAUUGUUGUACAUGGAAAUAAUGGUAGUAAAUAAUUUUUGAUUUAUUAAAUACAGUUAUAUAUUACAACUAGCUGUGCCCGGCCACGCUUUGCUAUGGCGAAGUAUGGUGGUAUGGGAAAUAAAGUAUUGAGGAAUUGGUGGUAGUUAAGGUCAAAGGCUAAAGGUGCCAGCCUGUUUAUGUUGGAUAAGUGAGACUCUAGUGUAUAUUUAUAAUCUUAUAUUAUCUGCUUAGAACUGGAUUAUAUGAGGCCCCUUCUACACAGCUGGAUAAAAUGCACACUGAAGUGGAUUAUAUGGCAGUGUGGAGUCAAGAUAAUCCAGUGCAAAGCAGAUAAUAUAAGAUUCUAAAUGGGUUAUAUAGCUGUGUGGAAGGGCCUUGAGUCUACACUGCCAUAUAAUCCAGUGCAAAUUAGAUAAUCUGUGGAAGAGGCCUAAGUGAAGCCUAACUGUGCCUGUCCCCUGGGCUGAGUCGGUUGCUAGGAGACCAAGUGGGCGGAGCUUAGCCUUCUAACUGGCAGCAAUUGGAUAAAAACAAUUAUUCCUCUCCCUCUAAUUAGGACUUGAUUUUUCUUUUCUUUUUGUUGUAUCAACCUAGAGCCGUGGAUGAUGGGUUGUGUUGUCAAAUUUCGAGGUUGGGGGGCCCGUAGUUUUGUUGUUUUGUCCGCUGCCCUGAUGCCAUCACUCUUUUAUAUAUAUAGAUUAUAUAUUUUUGUUAUUUAAACUAUAUAUAUUGUGAAAUUAUGUUUUUUUUCCCUUGAAGUGACACUUGGUGAAUUUUGACACACCAAGUGCAAAAGGUUGCCCAUCAUUGGCUUAGAAUGACAAGACAAGACAGCAAUGAGUGAAACAAAGUCGCAAUUUCACAUAAUGCGCAAUGGCGCAACCAAGAAAGGAUACAAGAAUUUAGGACGUGUAACCUUCCUAAGAGACGAAUCCACACUGGGAAACGAAUGCAGUUGAACUUCCAUGGCUCAAUGGGACGGGAUGCUGAGAGUUGUAGUUUUACAAGCCUCGGUAAACUGCAAAUCCCGGGAUUGCAUAGCAAUGAGUGAAAGCGGCUCAGACUGCAUUAGUAGAGGGUUUGGAACAGGGGUCCCCAAACUAAGGCCCGGGGGCCGGAUGCGGCCCUCCAAGGUCAUUUACCUGGCCCCCGCCCUCAGUUUUAGACUUAGGCUCUCCCAAAGUCUGAAAUAACUUGAAGGCACAACAACAACAAUCCUACUUGAUUAUCUCAUUGACCAAAAGCAGGUCCACACUUCUCACUGAAAUCCUGAUAAAUUUACAGUAUGUUGGUUAAAAUUAUUUUUAUUUUUAAAUAUUGUAUUGUUCUUUCAUUUACUAAUAUUGUAAAUGAAUGAUAUGGUAAUAAUAUAAUAUAUUGUGUAUACACAUGAUAUUGAUAAUAAUAUUAUAAUGUAAUACAUUUAUUUAUUUAUUAAUUAUAGUAUUUCUACCCCGCCCUUCUCACCCAAUAGGGGACUCAGGGCAGCUAAUAAUAAUAAUAAUACAAUAUAAUAAUAUUGUAUAAUAUGACAAUAUUAAUUAUAUAUUAUAUAUUAAAUGUAAUAUUACUAAUAAUAUUACGGUAUAAUCGUAUAGUACAAUAUCUAUCUAUAUAUAUAAAAAUGAGUGAUGGCAUCACGGCAACCAACAAAACAACAAAACUACAGGCCCCCCAACCUCGAAAUUUGACAACACAAUCCGUCAUCCAUGCCUCUAGGUUGAUACAACAAAAAGAAAAGAGAAAUAAAGUCCUAAUUAGAGGAAAAGGAACAAUUGUUUUUAUCCAAUUGCUGCCAGUUAGAGGACUAAUCUCUGCCCACUUGGUCUCCUAGCAACCAACUCAACCCAGGGGACAGGCAGACUUAGGCCUCUCUUAGGCCUCUUCCACAGAUUAUCUAAUUUGCACUGGAUUAUAUGGCCGUGUAGACUCAAGGCCCUUCCACACAGCUAUAUAACCCAUUUAUAAUGGACUUAAUGUAAGGUAAAACCUUUACACUUUACCUUAACUACCACCAAUUUCUCAAUAGUUUAUUUCCCAUACCACCAGACUUCGCCACAGCAACGCGUGGCCGGGCACAGUAGUAUUAUAUAAUGCUAAUAUUGUGCUAUGCUAAUAAUAUAAUAUAUUGUAUGUACAUACAACUUGUAAGCCGCUCUGAGUCCGCUUCGGGGUGAGAGGGUGGGCUAUAAAUGUAGUAAAUAAAUAAAUAAAUAAUUGUUGCUGGGUUGUUUUUUUGUUUGUUUGUUUUUUUGCACUACAAAUAAGACAUGUGCAGUGAGCAUAGGAAUUGGUUCAUUUUUUUUCAAAUGAUAAUUCGGCCCCUCAAUAAUCUGAGGGAUCAUGAAUCGGCCCCCCACUUAAAAGGUUUGAGGACCCCUGGUUUGGAACAAGCAAAUGGCACGGGAGUCCUAUCUGGGGUGGCAUUUCUUGUCUUCCCGGUUUGCGUUGGAAGGAGACUUUGGGGAACUUUGGCUGCAAGUGGGUUGAAGGCAGAGAGAAAGGCUGGAGCCGUGACUGGGUUUAAUCCGGCGUGAAGACGGGGCGGGGGUGGAGGUCUCGACCUCUGCGGAGAAAAGGCCCCCCUUUGUGCCCAAGUUCACCUCGCAGGCGCUGGCUGGGAAACGAGAGAAAGGAAUGGGGGGGGGGGGGAGCCACGAAGGGAAAAUAGCAGAGUUGAAAAGGAAAGGGAGAAAGAAAGGAAAGGGAGGGAGGAAGAAAGCGAAAGUGUUUAACUGUUUCUUCUGCGGGAGGGAGGGAGGGAGGGAAAGUGGCGCCCUGGGUUGGCGCUUCUCCCCUCCCCAGCCACCAUCCGGCUUCGGUUUAUGUGGUUCCCGCCCGUGCUUGUGGAAGUUCAAAUGAGGAAAAGAUAUCAACAACGUCAACAGAUGGCCUCUAAUUGUAAAUGGCAUGGAACAAAGACGUGAAAGAUGAAGAUACGAACACUUGGAUUCAUGAAUACUGGCCUUACAGUUUCAACACUCUUAAGAGGAACAGGGCCCACCAACACUUUAAGUUAACCAGGGCUAUUGAUCAGAAUGAAUUGACGUCUGCAAAGGCAAGCUAAUCCAGUUUAUACUGGAAUCCUGCAUAUAACAGCAUAAGAUCUGAAAGUCCUGUUCAAAGAAACCUACAUCAUGGAGCAACUGGAGUAGCUUCUGGAGUGAGAGAAUUGGCCGUCUGCAAGGACGUUGCCCAGGGGACACCUGGAUGUUUUUGAUGUUUUGUGGGAGGCUUCUCUCAUGUCCCCGCAUGGAGCUGGAGCUGAAAGAGGGAGCUCAUCCUCGCUCUCCCCGGUUGGGAUUCGAACCUGGCAGCUUUCAGGUGAACAAUGGGAUCGGACUGCUGGAAAGAGAUUUUUUUCCAACAAGAGGGAGAAAAAGACCUUAAGGGGUAAAAUGAGAAAGCAGAAAUUGCAGUGGAGACAAAGCAAAGAGAAAUGGACCAGGCAAUGUCAAAAGGCCAGUAUUUUCUCACUGAGUCACCGUGCAUCUUGCGAGCAGUGAUGAACUGAAGCCUGCCAGCCUCUGAAGCGAUGACACUUAAGAUGAAGAAUUGUCACAUUCAAUAUGCAGCCUGACACUGGAUGAUGCAGAGGAGUUAUUGACUGCAACCGAGGCACCUGCAAGGAGCCAGCACAGGGAUGCAGCAAAGCAGUCGAAGGAAAGCGGACCAUUUCAAUGGAAGAAGAAGGUGCAGAAAGGCCUGCAGACAGACUCUCAGCUGGGACAACCCGGGCUGAAGAUUGGGCAAAAGUGUCACUGGAUUUGUUGCUGUCAUUCUGAUUUUUAAUCUAUACUAGCCUGGGAACCCGGCGAUGCCCGGGUUAUUUGCAAAAGGCAUUAUUUGUCUUUGUUUGUUAGGUAUUCUCAGUUUGGAGUGGGUGAACUACAAUUCCCAGAAUCGUGGAUCAAUCCUCCCCAAACCCUGCCAUUUUGGGUCUGUGUCCCAAGUGUGGUCCAGCUCUGUUGUUGGCUAGUCAUUGCCUGGCUGCAGUGCUCUCUGGAUGGGGGUGAACUGCUACAACUCCCAGAUUCCCUGGGCAAUUGUCCCAAAACAUCUGUAAGUAUCCACACAGGCAAUGUUCAGUCUGUGUGCCCAGUUUGGUCCAGAUCCGUCAUUGGCUGGGUUUAGUGCUCUUUGGAUGCCGGUGAACUACAACUCACAAAAUCAAGGCCCAUUCCCACAAACCCCUGCAGUAUGUUCAGUUGGUCCUGAGGCUUCUCUGUGCAAAGUUUGGUCCCGGUCCAUUGUCAGUGGGAGUCACUGUUUCUCUGGAUGCAGGUGAACUAUAACUCUCUUUCCCCCAAACUUGUCCAAUGUGCUUUUUUGGGCUCUGUGUGCCGAAGUGCUCAUUCAUUGCAGGUGAACUAUAAAUCCCAGUACCUACAACUCCCAAAUGUCCAGGCCAAUUCCCCUCCAAACCCACCAGUAGUCAAAUCUGGGCAUAUCGCAUGGCAAGUUUGGUCCAGAGUCAUCAUAGAAUCAUAGAAUAGUAGAGUUGGAAGAGACCUCAUGGGCCAUUCAGUCCAACCCCCUGUCAAGAAGCAGGAAAGAUUUGGGUUGAUAGCGUUCUGGGUGUAGGUGAACUACAACUCCUCUAUAUUUCCCAGUAGGAGUGACAGUGCUCUGACUUGAUGCAGGGUGAACUACAACUUCCACCAUGUGGAGUCAAUCCCUAAACUCCUCCAGUAAGUUUAGUUUCAGCUCAGUUCUGCUCUGUUUGUUAUGCAGAGAGAUUGGAAAGGGAAGGGCAGUGGGCGGGGCCAUGCAAAUGUCACAGCAAUGGAGAACCCUGGGAUGCCUGCCUGUGGUGGAAGAAAAAGCUAAAUUUAGGAUGAAAUGGUCCCCAAAUGAAAGCAUUCCUUGGGUGGUGGGCCGUAGUGUUUGGGAAGGACAUUGGCAGGGGUUGGGCUACAUGUUCAUGGAGCUCGCUGUAACCGUAAUGUCAGUGCAAAGAGGUGACUUGCUUGAUUUUCACACCUGGGAAGUAUAGCCUGUUUGUAGAGGCCAGAGGCUGUCUAUGUGAGCAGAAACCCGUGCCACAUACGGGUUUUUGCUUUUAUUAUGGAUUUAGAUUAGAUUAGAUUAGAUUAGAUUAGAUUUAGAUUAGAUAUGUCCAGAUGACACUUCUGUUCUCCCAGACACUUUUCUGCCUAUUCCCUGCCCUCGCUACAAUAUUUUAUUCCCACCUUCAGCUAUGUUUCAUUUACAGCAGAACCUCAACUUCUGCAAGUUUCCAGAUUCUUGUGGAAAAUUUCAGUUGUAAAUAAAUAAAUGUACCUUUUGAACAUGCCCGAAGAAGAAUUGGAAAGGAAAUAUGGAAGAAUCUUGUUUUACGUGACAGUGGCGGCUCGG